GGUCCCAGUCUAGGAGUCCAAUUGGAGCUGUAGCUGCCAGCCUACACCACAGCCACAGCAAUGCAGGAUCCGAGCCACAUCUUCGACCUACACCAGAGCUCAUGGCAAUGCCGGAUCCUUAACCCACUGAGUGAGGCCAGGGAUCAAGCCUGCGUCAUCCUCAUGGAUGCUAGUCACGUUCGCUAACAACUGAACCACAACAGGAAUGCCACACGAACAUUUGUGAGUACUCCAUUUUACAAAAUAUCUGUACAUAAAUUGACCAUAUUUUUUCUUUUUUAUGGCCGCACCUGCAGCAUAUGGAAGUUCCCAGGCCUGGGAUCAAAUUCAAGCCUCAGCUCUGACCUAUCCUACGUUGCUGUGGCUGUGGUGUAGGCCGGCAGCUAUACUCUGAUUUGACCCCUAGCCUGGAAACCUCCAUAUACCAUGGGUGCAGCUCUAAAAAGCAAAACAAAACAAAACAAAACAUGGGGACCAGAAGGGCACCAACUCUGCUGCUCUGUCCUAUAGAAAGGUCUCCCCACCCAUUUGCACCCCCCACCACUCCAAGCAACAGGCACCACUACUCAAUUCAGUGGUAACCACCAAAAUGGACACAGGACAAAAACAAAAUCUCAAGAAUCAGUUUACUUUUUCAGGCCCAGUCUUGUACCCCUAAACCCAUUAAAUAACGAGGAAAAAUCCCUUCCCUGGUGAACAUCUACUUUUAAAUCUAUUAAGUAAUGACUAAACCAAAGCAACAUGUCUAGAAGCCAAAGCUCAGAGGCCAGGGCAAGACUUGGGAAUCAUUAACAAGCCAGGAGGUCAAAAGAGCAAACUAUCUUGGAAAUUCUAGUAAAUUCCAUCUGAAAAAAGAAACAAAACCCAUUCAAGUAUGCACAUUCCUAAACAAUCAUCAAAUUUCUGAAGAACCAAAAAAAAAAAAAAGAAAAAAUUCUGCCUAUAAAAAAUCCUAUCCACAAAAAUCAAUUAGUCCAUCUAAUGUUUUAUGGUCAUCAGACAGACUUGAGGACAAAGUCUCCAGUCCUCAGAGACUGCUCUAUUAUCUAUUAGACUAGGCAUGCCCAGAGGGCAGGGAUUAUAAAUUGUAAUUGAGGAUUCCCUCCUCUAGCCAGUAUGGCAUUUGAUUAAGCCAUUUACCACAGGAUCUCACAGUUCCAGGAGAGCUUGCUAAGUGCUAGGCAAGCGCUAAGCAGUUUCUAUGAAAUUAUUUCACUUAAAAGGCUUUGUCUUCACUCAUUGUCUUUUGAAAUCUAAUUACAAGCUUCUAAAUCCCUCCCCACUUGGCAAAUAUUUCUCCUAAAAGGUUCAUUCUUGCUUCUCUCAGCAGGAAAGGUUGCUGCACAGACGGCACCAGCCCCUUGCCCUGUGAACUCCCGAGUCCAUAGUCCAUAGUCUAGAGGAACAACUCAGAACACAAUUCGCCCUCCACUGUUCACAUAGGCAGGGCAGGGACCAGCUGGAGGCGGGGUAACGGAAGAAAACCAGUACACACUUUCAAUGCUAUACUGGAGUAUUACCUAACAGGUACACUCAAGAAUUCAGGAUUAUUUGAUUCUCAUUGUGGUGCAAUGGUGUUGGCCAUGUCUCUGCAGCAUCAGGAUGCAGGUUCAAUCCCCGGCCUGGCAACAGGGGGUUAGAGGAUCAGUGUUGUCUCAACUGUCUGUGGUGUAGGUCGCAACAGCAGCUCGGAAUAUGAUCCCCGGCCUGGGAACUCCAUGUGCCAUGGAGUGUCCAAAAAAGACAAAAGAGGGGGGAUUAUUUGAUUCUCUAAGCAUUAUACCUGUGUCUGAUUGACUAAGUACAUUGAUUUGGGCUCAGACUUUGUGAAAUUACAUGGUAACUUGUAGACUUUUAUCCAUUUUAGAUGCAUAUGAUUUCUGAUUGAUAAAAAUGAGAGUCCCAAAUGUUAUUGCUUGAUUGCCCUGUAGGACAUUAACCAGUUUUGUAAAUAACCUAGUAAUCUUAUUCCAAUAUUCUUCAGUGCCUAUACUGCCACCAUCUGAACCAGGUUUAUCUUCCUACUGGUUCCUUCCUUUGAGUUAAAUACUUUUUUGACAUGCUCAUUUUAUCUAUAUGAGAGCCAUGUUUAUACCUAAAACAAUAUAUACAUUGACAAGAGAAAUACUGUCCAGUUGAACAGUCACCAGCAGAAAAAUGAAAAUAUAUUUAUUCAUUACAUACAUCAGAAAGCACGUGCACACACACACACACACAUCCUAUAAUUCUGUUCAGGGCAGGUAGAGGGAAUCUUUCUGAAAAAAGGAUUAAGGAGCUCUCCAUUAAGAUGGUUUUCAGGCCAGACCUUGAAAUACAGGUACUUACAAUACAUGAAGGAGGAAAAAAUAUGAAGUAAAGCACUAGGCAUGUGAGACCCAGAAGCAGGGAGUAGCUUGGAAUGGCUGGCAUGCAGAGACCCAGACAACUGGAGGUCCCUGGGGAAGAGAAUUUAAUGAACUGGUUAUUCUGAGACGUUCCUUGACUCUGAAGCUCUAGUUUUGCACUUAAUCCUUAAUUUUUACUUAAUAUGUGUUAUUCUUUGCAGAAGUCCCACCAUGCCUCUUUCCAGAAACAUUUCCUUGAGACUGCAGCCUGGAGGGAAAGUCAAGACACCUGUCCAGGUCACAUACCACCUGUCCUGGCCCUAGACUGUGUCACAGGAUGAUAAAGAAACCUGUCCCAAUUCAGGUUUCGGACACCUGUUCCAGGGUGGCCCAAGCCUACGUCCAAACUGUCACCCCAAAUAAGUCACAGUGAAGCAAAAAGCCAUGCAUCCAGAGUACAAAGACUUGAAAAGUGCUUUGUGGGUUGUUUGCAAAAUGUGCAACAGUAAAACAUAACAGUAAAAGUUUCCAUUUACAGGGAGCUCCUGUCCUCCCUCAGUGGUAACAAAACUGACUAGUAUGCCUGAGGACUAGGGUUCAAACCCUGCUCAGUGGUUUAAGGACCCAGUGUUGCCGUGAGCUCUGGUGUAGGUUGCAGACAUAGCUUGGAUCUGGCAUUGUUGUGGCUGUGGCCAGCGGCUGCAGCUCCAAUUGGACCCCUCUCCUGGGAACNUCACAGCAAAAAAUAACUCUACCCUUCCUAAGAUUACAUCCAGUCCAAAAACCUUUGAUAGAAAGACUUCAAUUUCUGAACACCCACAUCUAGAGCGUCAACACUCAGUUUAACAAAACAAAAUAAUAAAAAUGCAGCUUAAGACACCUCAAAGAAUUCAAAGUUUGGACUGCAGAAAUGUCUGCUCUGUAAAGAAUAGAUUUCAAGAAAUAAGAGACAUCUAAUGCUAUUUCUAAGAUUAUGCCUAGUUGAGAAAACAAUCCUUUUUUCUUUUCUUUAUUCCCAGAAUACAGAGAAACAAGAGCAGCCCCUUUUCCUGACAUCUGCUGUUUCUGGAAAAAAAAAAAAAAAAAAAAAAA
rnacentral:lncRNA from 1 species